UACGUAGGGUGCAAGCGUUAAUCGGAAUUACUGGGCGUAAAGCGUGCGCAGGCGGGCUUGCAAGUGAGAUGUGAAAUCCCCGGGCUUAACCUGGGAACUGCAUUUGUGACUGGGAGUCUGGAGUACUGUAGAGGGGGAUGGAAUUCCGCGUGUAGCAGUGAAAUGCGUAGAGAUGUGGAGGAAUACCGAUGGCGAAGGCAAUCCCCUGGGAAUGUACUGACGCUCAUGUGCGAAAGCGUGGGGAGCAAACAGG
rnacentral:rRNA from 1 species